rnacentral:rRNA from 1 species
UUGACGGGGCCGCACAAGCAGCGGAGCGUGUGGUUUAAUUCGAUGCUACGCGAAGAACCUUACCCGGUUUGACAUACAGGUAGUAGGGAACUGAAAGGGACCGACCCUUCGGGGAGCCUGAACAGGUGCUGCAUUGGCUGUCGUCAGCUCGUGUCGUGAGAUGUCCGGUUAAGUCCGGUAACGAGCGCAACCCUUGCCGUAUGUUACAAGUGUCAUACGGGACUGCCGGUAUCAAGCCGGAGGAAGGUGGGAUGACGUCAAGUCAGCAUGGCCUUUAUAUCCGGGGCUACACACACGCUACAAUGGUCAGUACAAUAGGUUGCAAAGCCGCGAGGUGGAGCCAAUCCAUAAAGCUGGCCUCAGUUCAGAUUGCAGGCUGCAACUCGCCUGCACGAAGUUGGAGUUGCUAGUAACCGCGCGUCAGCCAUAGUGCGGUGACUACGUUCCCGGGCCUU